GAUGAACGCUGGCGGCGUGCCUAAUACAUGCAAGUCGAGCGAACAGACGAGGAGCUUGCUCCUCUGACGUUAGCGGCGGACGGGUGAGUAACACGUGGAUAACCUACCUAUAAGACUGGGAUAACUUCGGGAAACCGGAGCUAAUACCGGAUAAUAUAUUGAACCGCAUGGUUCAAUAGUGAAAGACGGUUUUGCUGUCACUUCUCGAUGGAUCCGCGCCGCAUUAGCUAGUUGGUAAGGUAACGGCUUACCAAGGCGACGAUGCGUAGCCGACCUGAGAGGGUGAUCGGCCACACUGGAGCUGAGACACGGUCAAGACUCCUACGGGAGGCAGCAGUAGGGAAUCGUCCGCAAUGGGCGAGAGCCUGACGGAGCAACGCCGCGUGAGUGAUGAAGGUCUUCGGAUCGUAAAACUCUGUUAUUAGGGAAGAACAAAUGUGUAAGUAACUAUGCACGUCUUGACGGUACCUAGUCAGAAAGCCACGGCUAACUACGUG
rnacentral:rRNA from 1 species